GGGUGUAUAGCUCAGUGGUAGAGCAGCUGACUGCAGAUCAGCAGGUCCGUGGUUCAAGUCCGCGUGCGCCCU